GCCUUCGUGGUGUAAUAGCUAGCAUGCUCGGCUCUUAUUCGAGAGGUCCGUGGUUCGAGUCCCGGCGAGGACA
rnacentral:tRNA from 1 species